CCAACCUUAGCUCAGCCUGGAAGAGCAUGAGACUGUAAUGGGUUACAUUUAUCUUUGUGUCGCCUGUUCGAGCCAGGCAGGUCGGA